CAACACAGAGCGCAUGCGUCAACUUCCCUUCACAUCAUGGACAACGAAAAGUUAAUUUUGGAGGUGGAAAAACACGGAAUUGUGUACGACCCCAGACAUCCUUUUUACAAGGAUAAUAGUAGAAAGGAGAAGGCAUAGAGUGAAACUGCAGAAGUUUUGGGAUUUGACGCGGCGCGCCGGAUCAGACACGGACCACAAAGCGUCCAGUGCAAAUUGGCGGACGGCCUCGGACGGAAUGGGAAUGCAGCGCAGUCGCACCGCAGCGGAUACGCAUCCAGUGUAAAACAGGGGUAAAUCCACUGCCGCAAAACUGGCACCUUCUUCAACCUACACCUGGAGGCUGCAAUAGCGUCUGCUGAACUGAAGGGGGAGACAGCAGAGCUAAAACCCACAGCACUGUCCUUUCUGGACUUGAUUCAAGUGCAUUCAACACAACAAUUCUAGGCCCAGCUGCUGGCAGAGAAGCUCAGAAGGAUUGAGGUGAAUGAUGUCUUGACAGCCUGGAAAACGGACCUCCCAUGCAGCCCUCAGCAUGUCCGCCUCAGUGGCCUCAUGUCACAGGCAGUACUGAGUAGCACAGAGCACCUCAAGGGACUGUGCCUUUGCCAUUCCUGUUCACUCUCUACAGCACCGACUUCUGGAACAACACCGGCCUUUGCCACCUAUAGAAAUUCUCAAAUGAUUCUGCAACUGUGGGGCGCAUCAGUGAAGCGGAGAAAAAGGAGUACAGAAGUCUAAUGGAGAGCUGUGUUAUAUGGCAUAAGGAGAACCACAUACAGGCCAAUGUCAAGAAGACAGAGGACUGGGUGGAAGGACUUCAGAUGAACCAGUCAACUACCAUGUCACCAUCCGUGGGGCAUGUCUAGAAAUUGUCCACAGUGACAAGUAGCUGGGAGUCACCAUCCACGGGGUGAGGGUAGAGAUGGUCCACAGUGACAUGUAGUUGGGAGUCACCAUCCACGGGGAGAGUGUAGAGAUGGUCCACAGUGACAUGUAGCCUGGAGUCACUAUCCAUGUGGUGAGUGUAGAGAUGGUCCGCAGUGACAUGUAGCUUGACAUACUUAUUUGUCAUAUUUUAACUUUGCUUAUUGUCUUUUAUAGCAUUGUGCAACAAUCUUAACGUUGUUGUAAUGUACAGUGUCAAUGAUACAUGAGCAAUGAAAAUAGAGAUAUUCAUUUUGCAUAGCAGUGUAUUGUUUUACAUGUAAUUCUUAUGAAAUGCAUUAUGUUUAUUACUGGUCUUCCUUUACAUAUUUAUUGACCUUUAAUAUUGACAUUAUAUUUGGCUGUUGUAUUCCGUUUUUUUCUGUGCUACUGGACAAACACAGGGAUCAUCCACCCAUUUUCUGUACUCACUUGUCCCAUUCGGGGUUGUGUGGGGUCUGGAGCCUAUACUGGGAGCUAUAGGUGCAAGGCAGGGAAUAACCCAGUAGAGAGCUCCAACCCAUCAAAGGGCACACUAUUCACAUCUGUAGCCAAUUUGGCAACUCUCAAUCAUCUCAGCAUGUUUUUGGACUGUGGAGGGAAACCAGUGUACCUGGAGGAAAUGCCAUGAUGACACGGGGAGAACAUGCAAAUGCCACAAACGGAGCCAUGGCAGAGACUCGAAUGCUGGUCCCAGAGGUGUGAGGCAAUGGUGCCAACCAAUACACCACCAUGUAGGAAUUAGUGAAGUUUAACCUUAACUAUAGUAAGUAUGUCCUAACCAGCCCUGUGCUGCUAAUGCAACAAUCAUACAUUUUAAGAGCUUAAUCCUGCAAACCUCAGAUGUCAGAUUAUUUCAGUUAUAUUUAUUUUGCAGGCACUUUUGUCCAAAGCAACAAACAUUUGGGGAAGAUGGUGACGCAGGAGGUAGUGCUAUCGUUCAGCAAUUGGAGGGUUGCAGGUUCGAGCCCUGGUUCCUCCUGACCCCAUCAAAGUGUCCUUGAGCAAGACACUGAACCCCAAAUUGCUCCCUUGCACGGCAGCCUUUGCCACCAGUGUAUGAAUGGGUGAAUGUGAGGCAUGAAUUGUAAAACGUCCAUUUACAAAGUCCAUUUACCAAACAUUUAAGAAGGAAGGGCCAGUCAGUCCCCAGAGCAACUGGAGAUAAGGGCCUUAACCCUGUUCCACAUACUGCAGUACUACAUAAAUGUUUCACUGGGCAAAGACAUCUAGGUCCAGAUCUACUACUAGCAAUGGGGUCUACCUGACUGGACUUCUGAUCAUUGUCACUGGACAGCAGCUCUCGGUUGGAUGGGAAAUCCCAAAGCUGGACAUCUAUAGAGACGUUACCCCGCAGGCUGCUGAGCACGAGAAUCCUUGGUGCCGUACCGAUAGAGACGUUACCCCGCAGGCUGCUGAGCCUGAGACUCCUUGGUGCCGUACCGAUAGAGACGUUACCCCGCAGGCUGCUGAGCCUGAGACUCCUUGGUUCUGUACUGAUUGCUGGCCAGGGUCUCUGCUACGAGACCUCAGAUGAGCUGGCUGUGCAGGAGAAGUGGAGCCUGCAUGUUUCCAGGUCUGAAAUAUGUGAAUCUACAUCUACAACCUCUAUGUAACCCAGUAAUGUAGCAUAUUUAUUCUCACCUCCAGUAAAAAUCCUGUGUGUUUAUCCCCUCCAGCCAAUGCUGUGCUCUGGUUACCAGCGUUUAUUCUUCAUUCUUGUUUCUCGUUUCUCUUCUUGUUAUAUGUUUGUUUCAUUUAUUAUGU